rnacentral:tRNA from 1 species
CGCGGGGUGGAGCAGAGGAAGCUCAUCGGGCUCAUAACCCGAAGGUCGGUGGUUCGAAUCCACCCCCCGCAACCA